rnacentral:rRNA from 1 species
GAUGAACGCUGACAGAAUGCUUAACACAUGCAAGUCAACUUGAAUUUGGGUUUUUAACUUAGGUUUGGGUGGCGGACGGGUGAGUAACGCGUAAAGAACUUGCCUCACAGCUAGGGACAACAUUUGGAAACGAAUGCUAAUACCUAAUAUUAUGAUAAUAGGGCAUCCUAUAAUUAUGAAAGCUAUAAGCGCUGUGAGAGAGCUUUGCGUCCCAUUAGCUAGUUGGAGAGGUAACGGCUCACCAAGGCGAUGAUGGGUAGCCGGCCUGAGGGGGUGAUCGGCCACAAGGGGACUGAGACACGGCCCUUACUCCUACGGGAGGCAGCAGUGGGGAAUAUUGGACAAUGGACCAAGAGUCUGAUCCAGCAAUUCUGUGUGCACGAUGAAGUUUUUCGGAAUGUAAAGUGCUUUCAGUUGGGAAGAAAGAAAUGACGGUACCAACAGAAGAAGUGACGGCUAAAUACGUG